rnacentral:rRNA from 1 species
CCCUUAGAUGGUCUGGGCGGCACGCGCGCUACAAUGAUGCAUUCAAAAAGUCUUCUGACCUUAGAAGGUUGGGUAUUCUCCAAAGUGCAUCGUGAUGGGAAUAGUUUAUUGCAAUUUUUAAUCUUGAACGAGGAAUUCCUAGUAAGUACAGGUCAUCAACUUGUGUUGAUUACGUCCCUGCCCUUUGUACACACCGCCCGUCGCUCCUACCGAUUGAGUGUCUCGGUGAAUUCUUUGAUCUUCUGUCGAUUCAGUUCACUGAUCCGACGGUGGAAAGUUGAAUGAACUUCGUCACUUAGAGGAAGGAGAAGUCGUAACA